rnacentral:sRNA from 1 species
AUGCUCUAUCACGGUUUCGUCCUGCUCGUUGUUAUUCCACGCGCUACUCCGAUCGCAUGGACCUACAUGAUGUCCCCCCUGAUGGCUCCGGACGUGCCGCAUGAAUGUGUGCCGCAACCAUCUCUGAACGCGAGCCCAACGAGCUCCGAAUGCUCAGCUUAUCCUCUGCGAUCGACAUUCAGCGACGGGAUUCUCCACGACGCUCCGAACGGAGCGAAUCCAGAACCCUGUGAGUUCAGUCAGACGUACGACACUCGCCACUACAGAGCCACCGCAACCUCUGAAUGAAACUUGGUUUACUGAGACAGCUGGAAACGCUCCGGGCUUCAGUCUUCGAUCAUGUUGGGCUCUGUGUUUGGGGUGGGGGCGCCAUUGCCGGAAAGCUCGCCGACGCUUUCGGCCGCAAGACGGUGUUCAACGCUUGUGUCAUGACUGCUGCGAUAAGCGGCAUUUCCGGAACGUUCGCUCCCUCCCUUCUCUGGUUCAACUGCUCGCGAGCCAUCCUCGCCGGAUGCUCGGCUGGUCUCACCGCAGCCAUUGUGACUCUCUUUAUGGAAAUCAUGCCGAGCACAGAUCGUUUCCUCAUGAACGUCGGUUUCGGCGUAGGCUACGUGGUGCCUGUCGUCUUCAUCGGACUCCUUUCUUAUGCUCUGAGAGACUUCCGUCUCAUGCAGCUGGCUUUGGGGGUUUACUCCACCGGAGAUCAAUCGAUGCGUUUUGAUGAUCUGCUCCGCAAAGAAAGGAUCGCUCUGGACAUCAUGAUUAUCUUCCUUCCGUGGUUUUGCGAGUCAAUUGCCUACUACCACAUCAUGCUCAACGCCCAUACGUUCGGAGGGGGUUGGGGGGGAAACGGCAGCUAAAUUAUGCGCUCCCAGCAUCUUCAGAGACUCCCGCGGCCCCCAUCGGAAUUCGCGUUUGCCGACGCUAUGGACGACGCAUUUCGCGAAUCGCUCCUCUAGUGCUGAGUGCGAUCUGUUUCGCCCUCAAGUUGAUUUUAGUUCCGGCUGACCUCACGUGGCUGAACAUCGUAGCCACGAUGGGGAUACGGUUUCUUCUGAAAUCGCAGAACUUCACGCAGUAGAUCGCGAUUCAUGAAAAUUUCCCGACGCCCGUCCGCUCCACGGGAUUCGCUCUCUGCCACAUGUUCUCGAGAGCCGGGGCAGCUGUUGCACCCUCCGUUGUGGAUCCGGCGAGAGCGACGCAUUCCAGCGUUCCACAUGCCAUAUUUUUCGCAUCGGCUGUGGUCGAGUGUUUUUACCUGAACAGAAUGCCAGGGACUCUAAACGAGCCCCUCCCAGAUACGCUAGAGGAUUUGGAAGAGAUCUAUGCGAAGGGAAGUCGCAGACGAAAGGAGGCAGGACGGAAAUUCGGUUUCGAUCGGUGCAUAGUUCACGGUGCUCUCCUGAAUGGUUUGGUUUCGGGUCUGAUCGCUAAGAACCUCCCGAACUGCGUGGUUGUGGAGCAGACUUUGCAUUUUCCGAACGCGUUAUUCGUUGGCGAAGAGGUUAAGGUGCUCCUCGAGGUGGUAGCGCAGCGGAAACGCUUCGUGAGCGUCAGAUACUCUUGUGAGAGUGAAACGAACCGUGAGGUCUUGAGUGGGGAAGCCAAACUCUUUGUCUGA